UUGUGGUAAUUGAAUCAAAUACUUAUAAUUCUGUUUCAAAUACUGAGUUGAUUUCUGCUCUCGAAUGGCACUUAUACUCUAUGCAUCCGAAUUAAUCUUUUCUAGUCUCUCUACUAAGUAGAAAUCGCAAGUGCUUAAAGGGGAAUAAAGAAGUCCAACCCUGGGGUUGGUAUUGCUAGGACGCUUCUGGAUUUUGUUAAAUGCAUUGUAUGAACCAUUGAAGCAAGAAAUGAUUCUGAUACUCUAGAGGAAGCAAGAAUGUCCCUGGCAGUUAGGCUGCCCUGUCGUUAAGCUUGUGAAAAAGUAAACAUAAAAAAAUAGCUUAAAUUCUGGGAGUGGAGCACCACAACAAGAGAGAGAUUUGGGUGUGCUGCCCAUCUUUAAUGAAGCCCCCUUGCAUCUUUUGCACAACUCUAAUAGUCUGUUUCAAGUACAACAAAAGUGAUAGCCCAGUAUGUAGUCGACAAUAGGUGAUCCACCAGGUCCUUGCUAUAUGUAUUCCACAAACGCCUAAAGGAAUACCUUUCCAAGUUGUGGCUUACACUUUGGCAUGGGCGGACGAAAAUGCCCCUUAGUUUGGAAAUUAGGGGGCUCAAUCCAACUCUUCUUGGUUCUGGGCGUUCCAGUAAUUUCACGCUCUUAGGUGGUGGGCCAUAGCCACUAUUUAGGCUAUUUACAGAUUACUUUAACGGGUUUUUGGACUUUUGAUGUUUUCUCUCUAUGUCCUCUUUUUUACACACUAAUUUGUCCUUUAUAGCCCCCUUGGCAAUGGAGGUGAGAAAAGAGAAGAGAAGAAAGGGUUGUGGUUUCUCACCCACCCAUCCAAACAAUCGUGAGAAAUCAAACUCUCUCCACAUCUCCGGCGACUUCAACUCCAUCUUCGGCGACCUCAUCUCCAUCUCCGGUAACCUGAAACUCUCUGUUUCUCUUUGCUCUAGCGACCAAGCAUCAUCUCUGUUUCUCUCUUCUCCGGCGACCAAACAUCAUCUUCGGCGACUAGUCUGAAAUCAAAGCUUUCAAAACUCAGUUUUGAUCACAGAAGUAGCUUCUUCUUGACGAGACGAAGACAACGGUGCAAGCACGACGAUGAUCCGACGAGAGGGUGGACCACACGGGCUACCGGAAGUUGCACGAGUGAGAUCUACUCUCACCCACACGCCUCACUCGCCUCACUCUCUCCCUUUCUCAUGGAAUCUCGCCACUUUUGGUGCAAAACGGAACUGGGGUGUGAGGGGGUUCCCGUCUCCCUCCUUCUCUCACCCUCUCUCGCCUUCUGGGCCUUCCAAACGAGGGAGAGAAUCACUUCUCCCUCCGUCCCCUUUCUUUUCUCUCGAAAUCCCCCGUUCCAAACGAGCUGUUAGUGCUACUGGUUUUUUUUUUUGGUCGGCAAAAAAAGGUUACCCUAUCAUUAAUAAAUACUAAUGAUACCAAAAGCAACCCUGUAGUAACACACUAGGGAGCGUCAAACAAAGAGGACAAGCUCAACCAAAUGGGAGCGUCAUACUAUGAAAGUCAAGCUCAACCUAUCACUACAUCUCACCCCACAUUUUUUUUAAAAGAACGACAAAACAGAAAAUACACAAAAGUUGACAAGAAGGCAACUACAAACCCCUAAGAUAAAUGCUUGACCCAUCCAAAGCACCUCAUCUCAAAGCUCAAACAGCCUUAUCAAACACCCAUUGAGCCAAGAAACAAACCCCAAUGCCGGCCCACACCAGCCAGAUAUCCCAAAGAAACCCUACCCCUAUAGGACCACUCUCACCGCCUCCAACACCUCCCUCCGCCACUGCCGCCUCCCCACCUGACACCAACUGAUGCCACACACUACCAAUGGCCAUGCCUCUACAGCUUCUCGCUCGUGGAGAGGGCUUUUCGGUAAAAUUGUGUGGUGAUGAGAUUCCUUUUGACUUUUGGUUGGGGAAAAUUUCAAAAAAGCCACUGAACUUUCAGGAACUUUACAAAAAAAAAAACACAUAAAAAACCCAUGGACUUUAACUAAUAACGAAAAGACACAUGAACUUACCAUCUGGUUAACAAUUAGGCCCCCGCCGUUCCAUUCCGUUAAUGUGUAAUGAAUGGAGCUAACGGAAGGCGUUAACCUUCCUUUUUUUUACUUUUACUUUCAAAAAAUACUUUUAAAUCUUUUUUUUAGUAGUAAAUAAAUGUGCAAUUUGGUUCUCUUUUUUUUUUUUCCCUCUUACUAUUUAUUAAAAUUACUUUAACCGCAUUUUUACAAUUUACCAAAAAUAACUUUAACCCCCCUCCCUUUUUUUACUUUCAAAUUUUAUCUUUCCCACACUCUCUCCCUUUUUUUUUAUUUUUUAGAAAUUCGACCUCACACCACCAAUCAACCCUAUAACCAACCGCUGAAGCCCUAGCCCUAAUUUUAGAAUCUCAAAAUUUCUUCUAACUUCUUUUUUUAACCUUCAUUUUAUUGUUUACUUUUUACUUUCAAAUAUUACUUUUAUCUCUUUCUUUUCUUUGUAAUAAAUAAAUAUGCAAUAAAGUUUUAAAAGUGUGGUUUAAUUAGUUAAUCCACAAACGCCUAUAAAGGAAUACCUUUCCAAAUUGUGGCUUACACUAUGGCAUGGCUAGACGAAAAUGCCCCUUAGUUUGGAAACUAGGGGGCUCAAUCCAACUCUUCUUGGAAGCUAGAUGAACUGUUCGCAAACCAUUUCUGUUCUUUGACCUCUUCAAAUAUUGAAGUUGACUUAGGACCUCUAACCCUUGGAACUUAAUCUUAGCAGUAGAGGUAUGAAUGUAUGCUUUUAUGUUGUACCAGGGGCACAUAUCAUGUCAGAAUCACACUUGUAGUUCUAUUUCCAGUUUUUGUACUUCCUCUUAUCCCUUUUUUUAAGUCCAGUAUUCCAUUCCGGGUUGUUCCUUAAUAAGUGUCAAUUUUGUAAAGUUAGUGGGUGAUGGGUGAAAGUUGGUGCAUUUUCCAUUUUGCCCCUAAAAGUAGAUUCCAUUUUGAAAAGUUAGUAAGCAAAAGUGUAAUGAUGAUGUUUCCAUAGAGGGUAAGUAGGGAAAGUGGAGGUAAAAGUUGAUGUGGAAGAUGUAAUGAUGAUGUCUCCCUAAUAAGUUGGACGGAGGGAGUAUUAUUUAUAUAGUUACCGUAAUAUUGUUCCACUCUAGUUUUAUUUCUAGUUUACCACAGAAGGUAGGUUUCCAGACCUUUUCAUUACCCCUUAUCCUCACACGACCCUCCCUUUGUGAUCGCAAAUGACAUUUAUAUUCCAACAAAAAAAGGGUACCCUUCUUUAGUAGGGAUGUUAUUGUUAGGAGUUUAUACUAAAAGCAAUGCUUUUAAGUAAUUGAUUUGUUAUUUAACUUGUUAUUUAUAAAUUAGUUUAUCCCUUUUUUAUGAGAAUCUUUAUGGGCAAUGUUUGCAUAAUAUUAUUAUAUGUUGAGCAUGUGUGUCUUAUUUUACGUAGUAGAUGAUCCUGUGUAUAAAGUUUGGCUUACACACGGAAGAUCGGAUCAUUGGUUCUUGUGGAGUAUAGGAUAUGGUUCACGGUCUUAGGUGGAACUAGACACACCAUUGUUAGGACUGUAGUACAAUGUUUUAGUAGGUUUGUCUUGACUAUGGGGAACGAUACAUGUUUCAACUCAUUGUGCUAGAACACUUUGUGUGUAUUGAACAGAACCGCUUUGAGGUAAUUGU